rnacentral:rRNA from 1 species
AUUAGCUAGUUGGUGGGGUAACGGCCUACCAAGGCGAUGAUCAGUAGCCGGUCUGAGAGGAUGAACGGCCACAUUGGGACUGAGACACGGCCCAGACUCCUACGGGAGGCAGCAGUGGGGAAUCUUCCGCAAUGGGCGAAAGCCUGACGGAGCAAUGCCGCGUGAGUGAUGAAGGAAUUCGUUCCGUAAAGCUCUUUUGUUUAUGACGAAUGUGCAGAUUGUGAAUAAUGAUUUGUAAUGACGGUAGUAAACGAAUAAGCCACGGCUAACUACGUGCCAGCAGCCGCGGUAAUACGUAGGUGGCGAGCGUUGUCCGGAAUUAUUGGGCGUAAAGAGCAUGUAGGCGGUUUUUUAAGUCUGGAGUGAAAAUGCGGGGCUCAACCCCGUAUCGGCUCUGGAUACUGGAAGACUUGAGUGCAGGAGAGGAAAGGGGAAUUCCCAGUGUAGCGGUGAAAUGCGUAGAUAUUGGGAGGAACACCAGUGGCGAAGGCGCCUUUCUGGACUGUGUCUGACGCCGAGAUGCGAAAGCCAGGGUAGCGAACGGGAUUAGAUACCC